GCUUGGCAGCGUGCCUAAUACAUGCAAGUCGAGCGAAUGGAUUAAGAGCUUGCUCUUAUGAAGUUAGCGGCGGACGGGUGAGUAACACGUGGGUAACCUGCCCAUAAGACUGGGAUAACUCCGGGAAACCGGGGCUAAUACCGGAUAACAUUUUGAACCGCAUGGUUCGAAAUUGAAAGGCGGCUUCGGCUGUCACUUAUGGAUGGACCCGCGUCGCAUUAGCUAGUUGGUGAGGUAACGGCUCACCAAGGCAACGAUGCGUAGCCGACCUGAGAGGGUGAUCGGCCACACUGGGACUGAGACACGGCCCAGACUCCUACGGGAGGCAGCAGUAGGGAAUCUUCCGCAAUGGACGAAAGUCUGACGGAGCAACGCCGCGUGAGUGAUGAAGGCUUUCGGGUCGUAAAACUCUGUUGUUAGGGAAGAACAAGUGCUAGUUGAAUAAGCUGGCACCUUGACGGUACCUAACCAGAAAGCCGCGGCUAACUACGUGCCAACAGCCGCGGUAAUACAUAAGUGGCAAGCGUUAUCCGGAAAUAUUGGGCGUAAAGAGCGCGCACGUGGUUUCU
rnacentral:rRNA from 1 species